UACAGGGGGUGCAAACGUUGUCCGGAAUUAUUGGGCGGAAAGAGCUCGUAGGCGGUCUGUCACGUCGGCUGUGAAAUCCCGAGGCUCAACCUCGGGUCUGCAGUCGAUACGGGCAAACUAGAGUAUUGCAGGGGAGACUGGAAUUCCUGGUGUAGCGGUGAAAUGCGCAGAUAUCAGGAGGAACACCGGUGGCGAAGGCGGGUCUCUGGGCAGUAACUGACGCUGAGGAGCGAAAGCGUGGGGAGCGAACAGG
rnacentral:rRNA from 1 species